rnacentral:misc_RNA from 1 species
UUUAAAAAAAAAAAAAAGCAGACCUGUUCCACUCUCUAUUUGAAGAUUUCUGGCAAGGGAUUGGAUGAAAUUGACAACAUUAAACUAGGCUGAUAGAACUUGGUAGCAUUGGAGAUAUGUAAUAGAAGUAAAUUUCUUUCUAGAUUUAGAUGCUGAAUUUUGAGAUGGAAAUAUUUGCUUGGAAGGCAUUAAAGUGUACUCUAUGUUGGCGGAAUAUUAAAUUUCUGGCUAGCUUAAAGAUUUCUAGCUUGUAAAAGCUCUAGCAAUUCUAUUUUCUAUUGAAUUGUGGGGUUUGGAUUGUCAUCUAUAUGUUAUAUUGUGAGGAGACAAUAAGUGAUAGAUGGCUAAAUACCUGUCAAACUGUCAAAGGAGACUUUGGUGUUGGCUUUGCUUGUUGCUCAGUUGUUAUGAUGACACUUAAUAUACCAUUGGCAUGUGUUGAUAUUUUUAUUCUGUCAUGGUCAGGCCGGUUUCUUAAACAGUUUUGUAGUGAAUGGUUUGUAUCU